rnacentral:rRNA from 1 species
CCCGCACAAGUAGCGGAGCAUGUGGUUUAAUUCGAAGCAACGCGAAGAACCUUACCUAAGCUUGACAUCCCAAUGACAUCUCCUUAAUCGGAGAGUUCCCUUUGGGGACAUUGGUGACAGGUGGUGCAUGGUUGUCGUCAGCUCGUGUCGUGAGAUGUUGGGUUAAGUCCCGCAACGAGCGCAACCCUUGUCUUUAGUUGCCAUC